rnacentral:misc_RNA from 1 species
UCUCAGGCAGACAGACCUCAGUUUAUCAACUGAAAACGAUAGGUACGAUUUGCUGUUCGCGCUUUCACGCUUUCACAUUUAUUAGUUUAUUAGGUACUUGUAGUUUGUCAUAAGCCGGUUAAAUUAUUUUUAAUAAGCUUGGCAUUGAUUGAGCAACUAGCCUAUAUUUAACAAUUUAAUAUUUAUUAAAAAUAAUAUUGUUUAAAUGUUAAAUGUGUAAAAAAGUGUGUGUAUUUUUUAUUUGAUUUAAAUCUUACUAUCUUAGUUUUGUUCAGUUGAGUAAUGUUCAGCCAUGUUUGGUAAAAAUAAUGAAGAAACCGUUGGAUUAUUAAAAGUUUCAGCCAAUAAACUAGAUGGGAAUACAAAAUAUGGAACUGUAGAAAAUAAUGUAAAGAAAAAACCAGUUGUCAGUGGUCUGUUUCGAUAUGCUAGCAAAGGUGAUGUGGUUCUUAUGUCUAUUGGUGUUAUAUUCUCAGUUAUUCAUGGAUCGAGCUUUCCUGUCUUGGCAUUAGUAUUUGGUCAAAUGACCAAUGUAUUUAUCAAGCAAGCAUCGGUUACUUCUACUAAUAACUCAAUGGUCAAUAUACCGUUGACAGUGGUUGGAAACGCCUUAGAUCUCAUACAUACUAAUCCAUUUAAUUCAACAUCUAAUUAUACAAAUAUUCUUCGCUCAAGUGAUGUAUCAACUAAUUCACCCUUAAAUGAUGAAAGUUCUACAUUUGGUGCAUUCUUUAUGUCUGAAAUGGAGAGAAUGAGUACUGUUAGAACUAUUACAGAAAUCGAUUUGAGAAAAACAACAGAUAUUCCAAAUAUAUUCAUUGAUGAGACGUUUAGUCCUGAAAAAUUUUAUAACGAUAUGACCAAGUUUUCGUUGUAUUACUUGUACAUUGGAUGCACAGUAUUAAUUGCUGCGUUCAUACAAACUUUUUGUUGGGAGAUUGCUUGUGAAAGACAAAUUUACCAAUUACGUAAGGUAUUUUAUCGUCAAAUCCUUAGACAAGAAAUUAGUUGGUACGACUUAAGUGAUGGUGGAGACUUGACAACAAAAUUAUCAGAUGAUUUGGAAAGAGUUCGUGAAGGUAUUGGCAGUAAAUUCAGUAUGGUUACUCAGUACGUAAGCACUCUUUUCACUGGUAUAGUAAUUGGCCUUUGUGUUGAUUGGAGAUUAACAUCAAUUAUACUUUGUGUCACGCCAUUUUUAGUUGCAGUUUCUGGAGCUCUAGCUAUAGUUUCAGCAAGUACAGCCGCUAGAGAGCAGAUGAAAUAUGAUUUAGCUGGAAGUAUAGCUAAAGAGGUCUUAUUAAAUAUUCGGACAGUAGCAGCAUUUGGAGGGGAACUUAAAGAAUCUAAAAAAUAUGAGUUGGCUAUAGAAGAAGGUCGAAAAUUAGUCAUGAAAAAAUACUAUUUAUUCUCAAUAUUAUUGGGUUCUGUAUUUGUGAUAAUGUAUUCAGCGUAUGGAAUAGCAUUCUGGUAUGGAUCUAAUUUAAUUGUUGAUGGAAUUUCAUCACCUGGGAACAUUUUCACGGUAUUCUUUAGUGUAAUGGCUGGGGCGUUUUCUGUGGGAAAUGCUUUACCAUUUAUAAAUUCAGUAUGCAUAGCGAUUAGUGCAGCAUCAAAUGUAUUUGAUAUAAUUGAUAGUAAACCAAACAUUGAUCCUUAUUCAUCACAAGGAAAGAAAAUUAAUAAAAUUCAAGGAAAAAUUGAAUUCAAAAAUGUUCACUUUGCAUAUCCAAUAAGAUAUUCUAUACCAGUUUUGAAUAACUUAUCAUUAACAAUCGAACCAGGGCAAACGGUAGCAUUGGUAGGUUCUAGUGGAGGUGGUAAAAGCACAGUUGGAAGUUUGUUACUGCGUUUCUAUGAUCCCACAGAAGGCCAAGUAUUGUUGGACGAUUUUGAUUUAAAAUAUUUAAAUUUACAUUGGCUUCGUCAAAACAUUGGAGUUGUAUCCCAAGAACCAGUAUUAUUUAAUGUUUCUAUUGCUGAAAACAUCAGAUAUGGUCAAACAGAUUGUACUCGGCAAGAUAUUAUAGCUGCUGCAAUGACAGCAAAUGCCCAUAGUUUCAUCAUAAAAUUACCCAAGGGUUAUGAUACAUUAGUUGGAGACAAAGGUUCUCAACUUUCUGGUGAUCAGAAACAAAGAAUUGCUAUUGCAAGAGCUUUGGUCAAAGAUCCAAAAAUAUUAUUAUUGGACGAAGCUACUUCAGCACUAGAUUCACAGAGUGAAGGCAUAGUACAAGAAGCCUUAGAUAAAAUUCAACAUAAUAGAAGCACUAUUAUUAUUGCUAAUAGACUGUCCACAAUAAGAAAUGUUGAUGUUAUUUUUGUUUUACAAAAUGGAAGUAUAGUAGAAUCUGGAACACACGACUUCUUGAUGUCAAAGAAUGGUCUGUAUUCAAACUUAUUUAACACCCAAGUGAAACGGGAAAAUAAUGAAAUUAAUGGAGACUCUUUAAAAUCUGAUGAAGAUAUUAUAGAUGGUAAAAAUAUCAAUACAGAAUAUGCUACACCAUCAACAAGUCAAUCUAAAAGUAAACAAAUUAGUUUAAAAAAUCCGGAACUUGAAUCUUACGGUGAAGUUGAUGAUGUGGCCGAUGAAAAUAUUGAGGACCAAGCUAUAAUUGAUAGUAAUAAUACUGAAAUCACAACAAAAAAGGAUUCAGUUUUAGAAAAAUGUAUUGAACCUGAGCAAGUAUUUACAGAUAGUUUUAUCACUGAAGAUAAGGAUGGCCGUAAAGUAAAUGUUACUAGAAAAAUAUCUUCACGUAAAGUAAAACGAAUCAUUUAUUUAGAACAAGGAAGUACAGAUGACGAGUUAGAAUCAAAUGAUUAUCGACCAAGUAGUUUAAGAGGAAGUACUUCAAUAAGACCAAUGAAUCAACCUGAUGAUUAUUCUCAAUGGGAAACUUCAGACAUAGAAUUAAAUCGAAAUACAGAAUUUGCCAUGAUUUCUAAAAAUGGUUUUCAAUAUAACAAACAAAAUACCAUGCCUGAAAUUGAAAAUGUUUGCAUGAAGGAUAUACUUAAAUUCAACCGUCCAGAAUGGCCAUGGUUGAUGAUGGGUUUUAUAGGUUGUGCUUUAACUGGUACCAUAAUGCCAGUAUUUGCUAUUUUUUAUGGUCAAGUCUUUGCUACAUUUACACUUAAAGGCGAUGCACUAUUACAAGAAGCAGCUUUUUGGUCAAAAAUGUUUAUCAUAUUGGCUCUACUAUCUGGAUUAGCGUGGUGGAUGCAGACCUUCGGAUUUACCCAUGCUUGUGAAAAGCUCAUUAUGCGUUUGAGAGUAUAUGCGUUCGAAAAUGUGUUACGUCAACCUAUAUUUUGGUUUGAUUUUAAAAGUUCAUCACCCAGUAAUAUCAUCAGUAGAUUAGCUAAAGAAACUCCACUUGUGAAAUCUGCUGGUAGUUUAAGAGUUGCUCAAGUAAUAUCAGCAUUUGUAACACUGUCAGCUGCACUAAUUAUCGCUUUUACAUUUGGCUGGAAAUUUGCUGUAGUACUAGUCAUUGGUGUACCAAUAAUUGCUGGUGCUGCUUAUAAACAAUUAAUGAUCGUACAAAAAGGCCAAAAAAAAGAUGUUGAAUGUAUGGAUGAAGCUGCCAGGAUUAAAUCUGAAACUAUUUCAAGUAUAAAAACAGUUCAAGGCUUAGCACAAGAGCUAAUGUUUGUAUCAAAGUAUGAAAAUAGUUUAAAUGAUCCUUUUAAAACUGCUAAAAAACAGGCAUUUUCGUUUGCAAUUAUGUAUGCCGUUUCUCAGGCAGUUAUUUAUGGAAUGUAUUCAGUUUCAUUUAGAUAUGGAGCAUUUCUUGUAGAAAUUGGAGAUAUGUCAGCCACAGAUAUUUAUAGGGUGUUCUUUGCAUUGGCAUUUUGUGCUGCCUCUGUUGGUCAAACAUCAGCUUAUCUGCAAGAUUAUUCUAGAGCUAAGAUUGCAGCAUCUCUCAUUUUUAAACUAAUUAGGAGAAAAUCGGAGAUAGACCCUCUAUCAAAUACAGGAUCUAAACCAACAAUUAAAGGAAAAGUCCACUUUAAAAAUGUCAAAUUCGAGUAUCCUUCUAGACCAAAUGUACGUGUAUUGCGAGGCCUUAACUUGAUAGUUGAACCUGGCAAGACAUUAGCAAUAGUUGGUGAAUCUGGAUGUGGCAAAAGCACCAUACUAUACUUACUUGAACGGUUCUAUGAUCCAUCAAUAGGAGCGAUUGAAGUUGAUAAUCACGAUAUACGAGCAAUGAAUUUAUGCCAUUUAAGACAGAAUAUUGGAAUUGUUACUCAAGAGCCAAUAUUGUUUAACAGUUCCAUUAAAGAUAACAUAGCAUAUGGUAUAUCCAACAGAGAGGUCCCCAUGGAUGAAAUAAUUGAUGCAGCUAAAAAAGCAAAUAUUCAUAAUUAUAUUACAACUCUAGCUCAAAGAUAUGAUACAUUGGUUGGAGAUCAAGGAAGUCAGCUAUCUGAAGGACAAAAACAGCGAGUAGCCAUUGCACGAGCAUUAAUAAGAAAUCCUAAAAUACUUUUGUUGGAUGAGGCUACAAGAGCAUUGGAUAUGGAAAAUGAAGUACUUGUGCAAGGAGCAUUGGAGGCAGCUUGUAAAGGUCGUACUUGCAUUAUUAUUGCUUAUCGUCUUUCUACAAUUCAACUAGCUGAUUCUAUUGCUGUAGUUCACAAUGGUAAAAUUGUUGAGCAAGGUAAUCAUGAAGAACUGAAAGCUAAAAAGAAGUAUUAUUACGAGUUAAUUACACGCCAGGAAGAAUCAUCUAAUCAACUUCAGCUCUAAAAACAUACAUUUCAAUUAAUUAAUAAUAUGAUCUAAGAAAUGUAUAUAUUAUUUUAACUGUGCAGAUACCACCUACUUAAUAAUUUAUGUCUCUUCAAGGAAUCUUAAACAACAUAUUUUCAAAAAAAAUUAUGGCUUGUCAGUUAAAAAGUAUUAUACAAUUGAAAUGUAGUGGUUAAGUGCUCAAGUAAAUUAACAUUUUAUCUACUAUUAAUUAACUUAUGUUAAAUAAUUUAUGUUAGUUAUACUAAUAGUUGGUUGUGAUUGCAAAAUUAUACAUAAAAACAGUUUUGCACAAACCAACACCCUUUAAUAAAUAUUUAUAAUUAUAUUUUUUGAAUAAAAUAAACUACCCAUAAGGCCUUGAAGUUGUUAAUUAUUCCAAUAAUUAUUAUUAUGUAAUAUAAUUAAAAGUGAAUUUUAAAACAAUACUCUAUAAAUCUAUAUAUUACAAUAUGUUGUUUUAAUAAAUUGCUGUAUUUUAAGGUAGAAUUAUUAAGUGUGUUGUCUACAUCUUCAUAAAAUUUUUUUUAUAAUUUUAAUACAAAUUUGGUCUUUUAUUACAAAUGCCAAGUUAAUUGUUAAUCCAGUUAACCACUAAUAACUACUAACUAGUGACUAAAUAAAGCAACACCUGAUGCAUAACCAAAUAUUGUAAAUAAUUAAAAUAAUAUUUUAGUUUGAUUUUAAUAAAAAUGUAUUGAUACAAAU